UCUUGAUUCACUGCUUACCACUGGUGUUUCUCCUUCCCUUUGUUUUCAGUUUUUCAGUUUGAUUGUGGAUUCCUAAACCAAAAUUACUAACCUGAUUUUCUCUAAAUAUGUUCUCUUUUUGACUGGAAAUACUGUCAAUACUUAAACAGGACAUCUAAUGAUGAUUCACAGAUCUUUAACAUUCUCUCUAAUCAACUGCAUGUCAUAAUCACUAUUUGGAUAUCCCCUCGUCACUUAAACUUAGCAUGGUCAUCCUUGUCACUUUCAAAGGAACUUCUCAAGACAUUAAUGGAAUUAUACAUUUUAGAGAGCUACUUUAGACAUAUUUAUUAAUGUGUUCAUUUCUUUAUUUGCAAACUGAUUGACUCUAGGUUUCAUGUCUUUUUCUACAUGGUUGUUUAGGACACCAAGUACAGUGCUUGGCACAUGGAGGGACUCACCACAGAUUCAGUUUACUGAAGCAAACUCAAGGAUAAGUAAAUAUGAAGCAACUGAGUAGCUACAAAAACAUAAAUUUCAGCAGUCUGGGUCCACAGAAACAGGAAAAAAAAAAGCAGUUUUGGAAUCUUCGUCUAGAAUGUUUUUUAAUGAUAAUGACAUUAGUGGAUCUUGAAUAGAACAAUAUCAUCAGAAGCAAGAUCAGAUCCCAAGUCCUUGUUCUGCAGGGUCCUCACCAACACUGAGCAGUUGAGCAAGUAUGGAGACAGGUUCUCCUUUCCUGAGAUGAUCAUGUUUGUCCCUGGUGCAGUAAGUAAAUAACUGACCCUAGAAUUCAAAUCCUUACACCUGGGUUCACAUUCCAAUCACAUCACCCAAAUUUUGUGAACAAAGUCAGACGACUCCAUGUCACUGCAUCUCAAGUUUCUCAUUUGUAAAAUGGAUUAAUAAAAGUGAUAGCAUUGAGUUGCUGAAGGCAACUGUAAGUUAGAACCUUUAACUUGCUGUAAGUUAGAGUCUUUAGACAAUAGGAGAUAUUUACAAAAUGCUAAGUAUGCAUGAUUUUCUUUUCCCGGGUUCGAAUUCUUAGUAUUUGGCCAUACGAGCCAGAUAGAUCCUUAAUCAUGUAUUCAGAAGCCUUGUACUUCAGGUUCAUUUUAAGUUUAAAAAGUUUGUGAGAUCACCAGGCCGAUAUCUGUGUACUUAUUUCCCAGUUCUCACUUAGUCGAGGGACAAAAAUCUCAGCUUAAUCAUCUCCAUCAUCAAAAGAUGUGGCUGGGCACAAAGUAGAAAUCGGAAGCAUAAACACUGAAUAGAUGAAUGAACAAAUGGUUUCUAAAAGUGUACUUGUAUGGGGGAACUGCUAGUAGCUAUCAUUAGACUUUCCUCUCCACCUGACUGAAAUUCAAUUUUGAGGGUUCAUACUCUUUGAUCAAAACCCUCUCAAGUUCCUUCACACUUGGAUAGAAUAUAUUGAGUAGUUUCAAAGAGGAAAUUUAUUUUUCAUGAACAGGUUUUUUGAUAUCCACUCUCAAAAGUGCCUGAAGUUAGUGAAAAUGCAGUGAGACCCUCUCUCUAAGCACCACUACCUUAUACAAAAUCAUUUAUAUUUGAUUUAGAUUCAGUUUGUUCUAGGACUUUAAAGUAUAUUGGUUUAGAUCAGCAUUUCUCAACCUUAACACUAUUGACAUUUGGGGCCAGAUCAUUCUCUGUUGGGGGAAGGUGGCUGUCCUAUGUAUAGUAGGAUGAUUAGCAGCAUCCCUGACCUCUUCCCAUUAGAUGCCAGUAGCAACCCCACCCACCCACACUGCU
rnacentral:lncRNA from 1 species